CAGCCGUUGACUCCCUCCACCCUUGCUUCCCUCUCAACCAUCUCACCUCCAUCUGUCCAGUGGAGCCAGAUGUCCCACCUUCUUGGGAGAAAUUAAUUGAGGCUCAUUUCCAGGACAGAGGGGCAAGCUGGGUCUGAGGAGCCAAGCAGAAAAACUUCCCAAAAUCACUGGGUGGGGAGGGGUCAGAGACUUACUGCUGCCCCAGCUGUUCUGACUCUGCCCCCAGCUUUUGGCCCCACCCUUUUAAAGCACCUUCAGAGGUUCCCAAUGGUGACAGUAAACAAGUCUCCACUGUCCUGGCCAUCUCUGCUGUGUUCACCCUACUCCUGAUCUUUCUGGCUGCUCAGGGACUGACAGCCAAGAUGUGAGGCUGUGAUGAGCAGGAACAGGGAGGCCUGGAGCCCCCAGCCAUUGUCAUCACUUCCCUGAUCUGCCUAAAUUCUGCCCAGCAGUCCGUGAAAAUGGUUUGCUGAUGACAUAUGUAAGGACUUUAACUCCCCUCAAGCAAUCUGCUCAUCUCAAAGGACAGAUUUGCAAUGAUCAAGAGGCGUCCUGUGAAUGCAGUUUGCAAAGGACUUAGGCACACAGCAUCUCCUUUGUUCUCACCACAAGGCUGCCGGGUGUGCAGAUGUGAGGAUUAUUUCAAUGGUGAAGAAGCAUCCUGAGAGGUUACGUAGUUCAACUAAUGUCACACCAAGAGCAGGAGAGCAUCUGGGCAUUUGGACAUGGAAGGUGUGGGGCACAAGCAUCUCAUGGCCAGGGAACGGGGGAGGAGCAUCUCAGAGCUGCAUCAGAGUUCAUGCUGGUCCUAGGACAAGAGUCAAGCACACCCUGCUUUCACCAGCUGCUGGUAG
rnacentral:lncRNA from 10 species